AACUUUAGGCGGUGGAUCACUCGGCUCGUGCGUCGAUGAAGAACGCGCCAGCUGCGUGAAUUAAUGUGAAUUGCAGGACACAUUGAACAUCGACAUUUUGAACGCAUAUUGCGGCCAUAGGUCCGUCCUGUGGCC
rnacentral:rRNA from 1 species